UACGAAGGGGGCUAGCGUUGUUCGGAAUUACUGGGCGUAAAGCGCGCGCAGGCGGUCUUCCAAGUCAGUGGUGAAAGCCCGGAGCUCAACUCCGGAACUGCCAUUGAAACUGUAAGACUUGAGGAUGAGAGAGGUGAGUGGAAUUCCCGGUGUAGAGGUGAAAUUCGUAGAUAUCGGGAGGAACACCGGUGGCGAAGGCGGCGGCCUGGGUAGAUACUGACGCUGAGGUGCGAAAGCGUGGGGAGCAAACAGG
rnacentral:rRNA from 1 species